rnacentral:rRNA from 1 species
UGGGGAAUUUUCCGCAAUGGGCGAAAGCCUGACGGAGCAAGACCGCGUGAGGGAGGAAGGCCUACUGGUUGUAAACCUCUUUUGAUAGGGAAGAACACAAUGACGGUACCUAUCGAAUCAGCCUCGGCUAACUCCGUGCCAGCAGCCGCGGUAAUACGGAGGAGGCAAGCGUUAUCCGGAAUUAUUGGGCGUAAAGCGUCCGUAGGUGGUUAGUCAAGUCAGUUGUUAAAGCGUGGAGCUUAACUCCAUAAGGGCAAUUGAAACUGAUUAGCUAGAGUGCGAUAGGGGCAAGGGGAAUUCCCAGUGUAGCGGUGAAAUGCGUAGAUAUUGGGAAGAACAUCGGUGGCGAAAGCGCCUUGCUGGGUCUGCACUGACACUGAGGGACGAAAGCU